GGAUAAGGACUUGGGCACUCUGUGUGCCCUUGCCAUUGCAUUUGGUGCAUUGGUUUGAGUUCUCCAUGGUGAUACGUGGAGAUGAGAAGUUGAGAAGCUUAUUACCAUUGGGUACUUGGUACCCCUAGAAGCUUGGUGGUGCCUCGGAGCUCAAUCAUUGUGGUGUAAUGCUCCGGGAAAGCGUCAGGGUCUCCAAUCAAGUUGUGGAGAUUGCCCCGAGCAUUUUUGGUCACCUCGAAGCCAUAUGCCAUUGUGGUGAAGCUUCGUGGUGUUGUUGGGAGCCUCCAACUAAGUUGUGGAGAUUUCCCCAACCUUGUUUG
rnacentral:lncRNA from 1 species